rnacentral:rRNA from 1 species
UCCUACGGGACGCAGCAGUAGGGAAUAUUGCAUAAUGGGCGAAAGCCUGAUGCAGCAACGCCGCGUGUGCGAUGAAGGCCUUCGGGUUGUAAAGCACUUUUGAACGGGAAGAGGAAGGACGGUACCGUUCGAAUAAGCCUCGGCUAACUACGUGCCAGCAGCCGCGGUAAAACGUAGGAGGCGAGCGUUAUCCGGAUUUACUGGGUGUAAAGCGCGUGCAGGCGGUCGGCGAAGUUGGGUGUGAAAGCUCCUGGCUCAACUAGGAGAGGUCGCUCAAAACUGGCCGACUGGAGAGCAGUAAGGGAAGGUGGAAUUCCGGGUGUAGUGGUGAAAUGCGUAGAUAUCCGGAGGAACACCAGUGGCGAAGGCGGCCUUCUGGACUGCAUCUGACGCUCAGACGCGAAAGCUAGGGGAGCAAACGGGAUUAGAUACCCCGGUAGA